rnacentral:rRNA from 1 species
AGUGAACGCUGGCGGUAGGCCUAACACAUGCAAGUCGAACGGCAGCACAGUAAGAGCUUGCUCUUACGGGUGGCGAGUGGCGGACGGGUGAGGAAUACAUCGGAAUCUACUUUUUCGUGGGGGAUAACGUAGGGAAACUUACGCUAAUACAGCAUACGACCUACGGGUGAAAGCAGGGGAUCUUCGGACCUUGCGCGAUUGAAUGAGCCGAUGUCGGAUUAGCUAGUUGGCGGGGUAAAGGCCCACCAAGGCGACGAUCCGUAGCUGGUCUGAGAGGAUGAUCAGCCACACUGGAACUGAGACACGGUCCAGACUCCUACGGGAGGCAGCAGUGGGGAAUAUUGGACAAUGGGCGCAAGCCUGAUCCAGCCAUACCGCGUGGGUGAAGAAGGCCUUCGGGUUGUAAAGCCCUUUUGUUGGGAAAGAAAAGCAGCAGGUUAAUACCCCGCUGUUCUGACGGUACCUAAAGAAUAAGCACCGGCUAACUUCGUG